GAUGAACGCUGGCGGCGUGCCUAAUACAUGCAAGUCGAGCGAACGGAUAAGGAGCUUGCUCCUUUGAAGUUAGCGGCGGACGGGUGAGUAACACGUGGGUAACCUACCUAUAAGACUGGAAUAACUUCGGGAAACCGGAGCUAAUGCCGGAUAACAUUUGGAACUGCAUGGUUCUAAAGUAAAAGAUAGUUUUGCUAUCACUUAUAGAUGGACCCGCGCCGUAUUAGCUAGUUGGUAAGGUAACGGCUUACCAAGGCAACGAUACGUAGCCGACCUGAGAGGGUGAUCGGCCACACUGGAACUGAGACACGGUCCAGACUCCUACGGGAGGCAGCAGUAGGGAAUCUUCCGCAAUGGACGAAAGUCUGACGGAGCAACGCGGCGUGAGUGAUGAAGGUUUUCGGAUCGUAAAACUCUGUUAUUAGGGAAGAACAAAUGUGUAAGUAACUGUGCACAUCUUGACGGUACCUAAUCAGAAAGCCACGGCUAACUACGUGCCAGCCGCCGCAGUAA
rnacentral:rRNA from 1 species